rnacentral:lncRNA from 1 species
UUUUCCUAUAGCCAAACAGUAGAGGUGAACAGUCAUUGAACACAUGAUGAUUUGUACCAAUCAGCGGCCAGUCUUUGAUUCCACACAAGAGAUUGAUUCAGAGCUGUUAGAAGGCCUUGUACAGAGAAAGCAGUGCCCUGCAUUGUUGCUGAAAUCAAGAAUACAGUUAUUCCGGGCAAAUCUUCUGUCACCAUGAGACUUGGGAAAACAGGAGCAGAAAUAUAUACAUCUAUCCUGUCUACAUGAAUACUGGGAGUGUCCACAAUUCUUGCCUACCAGAAGAUGACCUGCAGAAGUCAUGAGAUAAACCAUUGAGUAGCUUGAAGUCUGAGGUGGUCUGUCAAGAAAUUGAGGAAUGCUGGUGUAACAAGUCUGAUAGAGUAGGAAUUAACUUCUCUGAACUAUCUCUACUGUAUAGCUUUUCAGACUGUAGUUCCAAAGCAUGACUACUUUUACCAGGACUUGUCAUAUUGAGAGAGCAGUCUUAAGAUGAAAAAAUAAUUGCUGCUGAAAGAAAAACACCAACAAAAAAGACAUAACCCAAUAUCUCCAAAACAACUCCAUGUGUAUGUCAAUAUUUCAGGAUUUGGUAGAAAGUGUUUGUGCUGCUUACUUACACUCGCAUUGUUUUAUAAAUCGUGUGGAUACUUUAUAUGCUUUAUCAUAUGUGUUGCUUGGAGAAAGGCUGUUAAGUCCUAUAUUCAGAGAAAUGAAAUAAAUUCCAUAUUCACAUGCAUUUGUGACAGACACUUUUUUCAGAAAUACACAUGUAAAGGUUUCAUUCACUGUGUCAUUUUGGUGCAGAAAGAAUCUGUGGUUAGUGAACUGGUUACCAAAAUUAAUUUGACUUAAAGAUUCUAUUGAAGUGAAAUAGUUGUGGUAAUGUCAUUAGAUGGAAUAUAAGUACAUGUAAAAAUGUGACAGUGUGCUAUAUCAGUAUGAAUAUGUAUAUUGUGACAAUUUUGUUUUCAACCUGAAUAAAUCAGUUUUGCCCGCUUGCGUUGGUGU